rnacentral:lncRNA from 1 species
UACAAGUUGACGUCAACAUUGACACUACCAAUAUCAGCAUUCCAAAGAGUUAAUGUCUGGUUAUGCUCGAGCUUAAAUGUUCUCUUGGUAUGCUCCCCGAGGCCAUAGAUAGAUGACCGAUUAGCUGGCAAUGAAGAGGACAAUUGAAGGUACUGAUCCUUGAAGAUGAGGAACGUGUCCGGAAAGUCAUUUUUAGGUGAGGUGUCAAAAAGAACGUCACCUGAGGAACGACGCGUGAUAGUAAAUCCAAAAGGGGUGGUGUUGUAGAGAGUGAAACUAAGGUCAGAAAUGGUGCUCGUGUGGAAGUAAUGGGUGUCUUCAGAUGAUGGAAGUGAGGUAGAAGAGCGCUUUUCUAGCAGGGAGCUUCGGGGGGAUGAAUGUGUUUCACGGGGGAUAAAUUCUUGAGGAACUUCCCAUCUUUCAUGAUCUGCAUCCGUAAUUCUGACUCUUAAACGAUCUUUUGUCUCAAAGCUGCAGAAACCAUCAGCAUGUAAAACAAGAAAAGGCUGAUCAGUUUGUUUAUAAAGAACACUCUAAUCAAAUUUAAAAGAUCUUUUGACACAAAAAAGACGAGUCUGUCUGCGGAGAAUGGUGUGUAGGCAGUCAUACCCCUCCUACAUUGUGAAGGUAGAGAGGUUGUUCCCCAUAAGUAAAGCACAUCACAAUCAAGUAUUGAAAGGUAAUAAAACAAGAAAUAAGAUAGCAGACAAGUAAGAAAAACAAUAGUGAUAUGCGACACUAGACAAUGCUGAUUACCUACUAACCUUCUAUCUAGAAAAGUCAUCUUGUUUUCAUUUCGUUAUAGAAAUGUUCACAAAAUCAGCUAGGAAAAUUUUUGGUAUGAAAUGGCAAGUGACUUUUCUGUGACAAAAUAAAGAAAGAUAACUUUACAUCAUCUCCAAUAUGAGCAAUGAACUCCUAAAAGUACUGAUAUUUUAUUAAUUUUUUAAAAAGCAAGCUCAGAAAUAAAAAGGCUGGAGUCUGACAGACACCCAUACUUGUCUCGCUAUGACAAACACCCACUUUACUUCACAGGGCUUCAUCUAAACACUUGAAUGUGUUCAAAAUUAGUAUCCCAGUUUCUCGACUUUCACACAUGAACUAUUAGAUGUGCGAGUUUCCUACCUAAACUAUCAAGUGAUACUUCAUUUAUGAAACUCAACAACAACAACAACAACAAACCCAGUAUAUUCCCACUUAGUGGGGUCUGGGGAGGGUAGAGUAUACGCAGUCCAUACCACUACCCCUAACGAGGUAGAGAGGUUGUUUCCGAUAGACCCCCGGCUCAAGAUACUUCAUAUAUGAAACUCAAAAAACUAAAAUAUCUGUGUUUUUGACCCUUAUUUCUUUUUCUUCACAAAACUUGAAUUUUUCUUUUUUUGUGUGAAAUGCAUAUUCAAACAGAACUUCAAAGACUCAAGAUUUUAAAAAAAUGCAAGCUCAGAAAAAAAGGCUGAAUAGUCCAGCAGACACUCCUACUUGUCCCGCAUUGACAAGCGGCCCCUUUUACUUCACAGGGCUACAUCUAAACACCCAAACCUGUUCAAUAUUAGCAUACUUCAUAAAACUUCAACAUUUUUGUAGUCCAAACACAUCUUUUUGAAGUCCAAACACAUCUGCAACUUCAAAAUACUACUCCCUCCAUUUCCAUUUGUUUAUCUUUCUUUCCUUUUUGGUCCGUUGGAAAAGAAUCUCUCUUUCCUUUUUUAGCACCACUUUAGUUGCAACUUUCCACCUAAUAUGUUAAAGACCACAACAUUAAAGAACAUUUUGAUACAUUCGACCUAUCUUUAGUUAAAGACAACAAGAUUCAAAAGUAUUCUUUAUUUGCAUAAACUCCACACAAAGUCAAAACUCGACAAACAUUAAAACACAGAGUAUAUCUCUUCAUGUGUUUUAGUGUUGUUGGUGAUUUUGGAUAGAUAGUUUAUAGUAUUAAUCUAUGGAUGUCUUAUUUUUUGUAGCAUUCUGUUGUGUGUUUUUAUGUUUUUGAUUUGUUAUACUGGUGUUUGUCUAGAGCUAGGGGUCGAUCGGAAACAUCUCUCUACUUCAUCUGAGGUAGUGGUAUGGACUGCGUACACUUUACCCUCCCUAGACCCCACUUUGUGGAAAUACACUCACUGGCUAUGCUGUUGUUGUCGGCGUUGUGGAGCAUAUUACUUCACAAAACUACAGUACCUUUUUCCAAAUUACGUUCAAAUAUUACCUCUUUUUUCAAAUAUCACUCAAUUCAUGUCCAAACGACUACUUAGAAUUAACGAAAUUUCAAUAAAUAUGUAAUAUAAAAAGUAUUCAAGAUCAUUACCAAGCAGUAAGGCUAAGAUUUUGAAUGUCAGGUCCAUAAACAGAAGAACCUUUGAUAAGCUGAAGACUAGCAGUCAGUGUCCUUCCAGAUGAGUCAACACCUACUGAUCUAACAAUAUAACCAUAUCCAAUUGGUUCAGAAUUUGUUGUAAGUGCUAAUAAUUGAACCAAUAAAGUGAAAGACAAGAGAAAAUUGGAUAGAACAAUAAAUGUACAAGAUUUUAUAGAUUUAUCAGUACUGUGUAUGUUCAUUGUGAUGAGGAAAAUAUAAUAAUAUCUUAACUUUGUUGUAUGAUAUUAUAUGGGAAAUGGAAGAUAGUGUAUGGUCCUUCAUUCAGUGGUCCCACACUCAACUAUAUGUUAUAUUCCAUGAAUUUAGUCGAGGCGCAUGAAAGCUGAACUAGACAACAGCGUUAUAAAAAAAAAAAAUGACUGCUAACUAAACUUUAGCUAGUCAAAAUUUUGAAGUUUAGUGGUUUUUCAAUGCAGAAUUAAAUUUCAUAUUAUGUGGGAAAUGGAAAAUAUUGUAUGGUCCUUAAUUCAAUGGUCCCACACUCAACUAUCUGUUGUUGGUGGUGGUGGUUGAAAGAUGAUAAGUAUUUCGUGAAUUUAGUCGAUGGGCGAAAAUUGAAUUACACGCCCACGUUAUAAGAAAAUAAUUUUUUUUUACUGCUAAUUAAACUAUAGCUAGUGUGUCCACCAUACAAACUCGAACAAAUAUAAGUAUAAGGAUCCAAUAGAUAAUUUUGAAAAUUGAAAGAUGUCUAAUACCUAAACAACAAACUCACCAACCAAAUUCAAGAAAAAGAAAGGAAAAUGACAUCGUUUCUACUUACCAAACAGUCUAUCGGGGCUUCGUUUUCAGCUUCGGAUCGGUCCAGCACCAUCCCACUUCUCCUGUUCCAACUUUCAAAUCCCAGCUCAGCGACUACAGCACAAACGACUAGGUGAAUCAUUUUGCCCUCCAUCUGUUUGUUGAAAUGUCUGAAUGAACAACUACAAUUUUCGUGAGUUAAUUAUUAUGGUGUCCAAGUCAGCAUGCGUGCACCUAGAUUAAUUUCACGAUACCUGCCCUCCUCUCACAAAAGGAUAGAUAUCUAAGUAACUCUAAGGGGUCGUCUAGUGUGAGGUAUUGGGAUAAAUAGUCUCAGAAUAAAAUAAAGUAUUUGGUUUGAAGUAUUAGCUAUAAUUGGGAUUGUUUAUCCCAUUAUUUACACUAUAGUGAUGAAAUAAGUUAUUCCAUAUAUACAUAGUGGGAUAACUAAUCCCGGAUUAUUUUGGGAUAACUGAUUCUGGGAUUAAUUAUCCUGAGAUAACUCUUUCGCAACCAAACGACCCCUAAAUCUAAUUUCACGCGAUAUCUCUCCGCCUCCCACUAGCAACGGUUAUUAGCUAAGGUUAAUUUCACUUGAUACCUGUCUGCCUUCCACUAACAACAGAUAUCAGUAGUUCUAUUUACUAAGGGGUUAUUUGAUGUGACGUAUAAGGGAUAAAUAGUCCCGAAAUAAAAUGAAGGACUAUUUUAUCCGAUGUUCGGUGUGAGAUAUUUGUUAGUACCAGAAUUGUUUGUUCAUUAUUUACACCAUAGUGAUGAAAUAAGUUAUCUCAUAUACAUGGUGGGACAACUAAUUCUGAGAUAACUAAUCUCAGGAUUAAUUAUCUUCAAAUAAUUCUUCCCAACCAAACGACCUUUAAGGCUACGACAUAUGGAGUCAAGUGAUAUUUGUUGCUCUUGUGAAUUUAGUCGAGGUGCGUAAAAACUGACCAAAACACCAGGAUUAUUAAAAAAAAUAUCAUAUAAUAAAAUUUAGAUAACAAUUAACACAAGAUUAAUAAAGACUUGAAAAAUCUUUUGUCUAUAAGGUAAGCAACAAACUCAUCAACCAAAUUAAAAAAAAAAAAAAAAAAAAAAAAGGUGUAAGAAAAGGAAGGAGGAGGUACAAUUUUCCUUGAUUUAAUAUCUUAUAGGACCUUGAAAAUUAUUCUUUUCCUCCUCUUAACCUCCAAUAGAGUGAAUGGCUCCGUAAUUUUGAUGGAAUGCCACCACUCUUAAACGUCAAUUCCUUAACAACAACAAUCAAAGCAUCAAUAGUUAAUCAAGUUCUCAUAUUUGUCCUUACAUUCUUUGCAUUUACAUGCUAAACAUGAGCUAACAGAUGGAUCAAAAGAGGUGGCAUGUCCAUUGAAGGGGGUGAAUCACCAUAUUCGCCACUAAUAUGACCAUCAUCAUGGCAAACUUUUUUUUCAAAAGAAUCUUCAUGAGCAUCAUCACCAUCUCUGACACCAGCAUCAACAACACCAACACCAACCCCAAAUUUGUUGCAACAUCACCAAAAAAACAACAACAGGCUCAACAAGAACAAGCUGACCUUCCCUAGGUGCUUCUCUUUUUAUGGUUGUUGCUCCAGCCAAUUCUUUUUUAUCAAGUCCGCCUUAGAGUCUGAUUUGGUGUCAACAAUCUCCAGAGUAAGAUAGGCAGACAUCUCCUGCAAAGCCUAUAAACAAAAUUAGAUAUACUAAAAUCAAUCUAUAACUUGCAACAGAUAGGUAACGUGUUGCAACAGAUGACAUCUUAGUCCAGUCACUAUGGCAAAUUCUUUGAUGCCAAAACAAACGGGCAUGUCAUAGUAGUUUAUCCAAAUCUCAUCCAUUUUCUUUUUCUCAUUCUUUAAAAUUUGAUCAUCGUCACCCUUAUACUUGAUCCUGCGCUUGAGAAGACUAUACACCAUAGUCAUUUAAAAGUGUACUUUAUUAUCCUCCGGCAGAUCAAGAAAGUGUCCAAAAUAGCUGGACUUAAAGUAAUCCUUCAAUUUUUCAUCUCUCAAUAUCUUUCGAAAACCAUCAAAAAUUUUACCUAUGACCAAUUUAACAACAAAAUCACAAGUUAAAGCUGUAGGGUUAUUUAUAGGCAUCUCCACUUGAAAAUUGUCAAUACUAAAAGUUUUGACAGGAUUAUAUUGGACUUUCGAUCUACAUUCAUGAUCGAUUGAUGAUGCCUUAACAUCAUCAACAACAUUAAUUCAUUGGUUCUUUCCUCUUCUCUUUUUCAUUUUCCUCUUUAGCAUCUUCCCCACUUUUAACAUCAUCUCCUUCCUCACUUUUCUUUUCAUCUUCUUCCUCCUCGUCUCUUUUCUCACUUUCUUUUUCGUCUUCAUCCUCAUCUUCUUUAUCACUUUCGUCAUCAUCUCCAUCCUCACCAUCUCCAUCUUCUUCCUCAUGUUUAUUUUCAUCUUCCCCUCUACAACAUCUCUAGAUCUUUCAACUCAUUCUCUUUCAAUAUCUUCUUCAUAUCUCUUCCCAUAUCUUCAUUCUCUUUCUGUACAUCUACAGAUGUUAACACUUUGCAUUUGUUUGUGAAAGAGCUUGUUCAACAAGUGCUUCUAAUGAUACUUGUAAUUUAGCUAUUUUACUUGGUUUAUCAUAAGUUGAUCCACUAUCUUUUCUUUUGCGCAUCAUUUUAUCUACAAAUAAGAGAAAAACAAAAAAGAUUACAAUUGACUUGUGCAUCAUUAAAAGAAAGGAUAAUAGUAAAUUUAAUAAAUACAACAUGGUACACUAAUAGUUCAAUAGAUGACCCAUCUGUUGGAAGAAGCAUAACAACAAAUCAACAGAUGAUAUAGUUGUAUCCAACAAAUGACUAAAUAUCGUUUUCUUAAAGAUAAGUAAGAAGAAGAAACUCAAAGUUCCAAUGAUCAACAGAUGCUUAAUAUGUUUUAAUAGAUUCUUAUUCUUGGGAACAUGUUUUAUAGCUGUUGGACAAUAUUUUUAUCAUGCACAUAUAUCAAUAAGAACACCACCAACACCAACAAUAAGCUAUAUCACACCAAGAACACCAAAAACAACACCAAGUUAUAUCACCACUUUAACAACACCAAUAUUUUUACCAUACACUAACAACACAACAAAACCAAGAACACCACCACUAACAACAACAAAACUAAGAACAUGAAAAACAUAUCUAAAACACAAACAAUACCAAUAAAACAAACAACACUCACCUACAACACCAACAAAUACCAAGUGAAGUGAUUCAAUACAACAACACAAACAACAAAAUAAAAUUGUCACAACAGAUUUCUUCGAAAAAAGUCAAAGUUCAAGUUUCACUAUUUUUACAAUAAUGUUCGAGAACAAGUACACCACCAACAAAACUAAGAAUACAAAUAACACCAAUAAAACAAACAAAACCAAGAACACCCACCAACAAAUACCAAGUGAAGCGAUUCAAUACAACACAAAUAACAAGACAAAAUUGACACAACAGAUAUCUUCAAAAAAAGUUAAAUUUCAAAUUUCACGAUUUUUAUAAUUAAUGUUCGAGAACAAGAACAAGAACAACAACAACAACAAAAAAGUCAUAUUUCACUCAAAAAAGAUACGACAUUUACAUCAACCACCAUAUUAAGAGAACAAAUAUCAUAAAUUAGGAUUUUCUUGGGUUCUUUUUUUUUGUUUGUUUGAGCAUCAAAUUUCAAAAUUAUUAAUCCAUACUUGAAGAGAAUACAACUAAGGUUUUCUUUUUCUUCAUUAACUAACAAGCACUAAUUUUAUGAAAACCAACAAAAACAUUAACGGCUACGAGGAAAGAAGAAACGAUGUAGAGGCGAACUUGAGGUCGCUGGAAGUGAAAGUUUGUCAUGAAAAGUUAAAUAAUUGUGGAUUGUUUUGUACUUUUAAAAAGAUUAUAAGUUUUAAAAAAGUUAAUUGAGUCUCUUGUUAACUUAAUCUAAUAGUUAAGUGUCUUUGACCCUUUCAUGAUCAAAAUAGUCACCACUAUUUCAAUGAAGACUUAAGUCACCACUAUUCAGGGUCGUUUAGUAGAGCGUAUACAAUAAGCAAUAUUUACUCAUGCUUAUCCAUGUAUUAAUAGCCCUUAUAUUGCUAAUAUCAUGGUUUACUAUAUAUUACUUAUAUACAAUUUAACUAAUACAUACAUAGAUUGAAAGUCCUAACAAAUAAAGGAUUAAAUUAUACCAUAACUAAUACAUCCCACCAAACGAACCAUUGAUGAAAAUAUUACAGUUUGAAUUACAUGAACAUACAUAGCUAAGCUGACUCUUCAUAGCUUUAUCAGUUCAUCAAGAAAUAACAACAGAUAAAAAUAUGCUUUAUUUUCCAUACUCUACAAUACUAUGAAGAUAAUGAGAUCCUAAGUUGCGUGGAUUGUUCAGUUUCGAUGCUGUCGAUGCUGCACCCGUGUUGGAUUCUCCAAAAAUGCUGACAUGCACUCGUUGACAAUUUUGAGGAAUCCGGCCAACAUAGAUAAGAUCAUCACUGUUCAGUUCAUAAUUAUUUGGCAAUUGUUAGCUCAAUAGUAAAUUCUUUUCCAAUAAGAACUGAUAAACCUGUCAUCUCCGGAACACCAGAUGUAGCUCUAUCAAUUUUUGUUCCAAUUUUAGUGGCCAAAUUAUAUGCACUUAUUUUUCUCACCUCCUUUUUCAGUCCAAGAAAAGUGACUUUCUGUAUUGUCCAAUUCUUACUCAAAGCAAACUCUUCAUUCAUAACCUUUGAUCUGAGAAAUAACUUGUUAUUCAUAAAAUCAGUGUGAAAUUUCACAAGGCUCCAUUUUCCUCCCUCUCCUCCCAUUUCAACGUCUUCACCAUUGUCCAAGAAGACUUCUCCUGAACUAUUUCCCCUGCUGUUGAUGGCAACAAGUAGUUCAAAUGGAGUUUCCCUUGCUGCUCUUGUCGUCAUUGCUUCUCCUUGCAUUGCCACAAUGUUUCCCUCUUGGAGGUGCACAUUGAUAUGAUCAAGAGGCGCGUCUAGGCUGAUGUAGCUACCGGACUUCAUGUUUACGUAGUUUGAAUAGUUGAACAUGUUGAACCAGGUACCGGAUGGAAAAUAUGCAUUAACUGAAACCGCACCAGAUGUCAGUACUGGUGAUAUCAUUAGCCCCUUACCGAUGAGAAACUGAGAGUCGAUGGAGUAAGUGUUUGUGUCCUCGGGGAAUGAGAAGAAAAGAGGCCGCGCUAUAGGGAUGCCUUUGGUAUGUGCCUCGAACAUUAAUGUGUAGAAGUAUGGUAAGAGCCGGUAGCGUAGUCCAAGCACUUUCUUGGCAGUUGCAGCUACUGAAUCCCAGAUAUAAAGUUCUUGAUGGAUACUGAACUUCAUAGUGUGAUCCCUUGCAAAGGGAUAAAAUGCACCUAGCUACAUUCGACGAGAACUUGACUAUCAGAUAUCAGAAAAGUAUCAUACUUCAAAUUUGAAUUUUUCAUUUGAACAAAAAACUGACAUGCUGUUCCAUAGAGCACAAUCUAUGUUUCCCUGAAUAGAACAUAGAACGACAACAGAACAAUAAAAGAGAAGAAAACCAUUGCUAUAGAUAUCUCCACGGGUUUAAGCCAUACAAAUUAACCUUCUUUUCUAAUACACUUGACAAUAGUAUUUUACUCAAAAAUCUGUAAACAACAUUUUUCAGAGCAUUAUCAUUAACUUGAUAACACUGUUAGCAGAAAGAGUACUCCCUGGACCAGUUGGGUACACUCAUAAUUCUAAGGUCAAGGGGUGCCAGAGGCGGAUCUAGUAUUUAUAUUUAACGAGGUAAGGAUUCUGGGUUUUGGACAGUGACCACAAGUUCAUAUGCAAUAAUAACAGACCAUAUAAUGAGCAUCAAUAUUCAAUAUAUUAUCAAGUUUAGCAUAGACAUAUAACAAGACAGGGUAUUUAUAACUAGUCGUGCCUUCUCUGAUUCAACCUCCUUUUAUUCCUUAAUCUUGACUAAUUCAAUUUGACCCAAGGCAUAGCUAAGAUUUACGGGAUAGGACAUUAGUGUAUCUAAUACUACAUAAUUUAGAUGAGGAUCGCCGUCCCAAUUUGAAGUUUUCCUAGAAGUUUCACAAUUAAAUAAGAAAAAGAAGAACGGUCAUCUAGGCCAUUUUGAACUUGUGGACUGAGAUCAUAAACUUUCAAUAUAUGCAGAAAGGUAUUUCUUUAAAGACGAAAGAACUUGUACCUGAAUCCAACGGCGACAUAAUUCUUCAGUAGUAUUUUCAAAAAAGCCACAUAUAUCAGCUCCAACCAUGGGAAUCCCAAACAAUCCAGAACCCAAAGUGCUGGGAAUAAUAUAAGCCAAGUCAUCCCAAGUGGCUGCAUUAUCUCCCGUCCAAUGUGCUGUGUACUUGCCAGAACCCACAAAGGUUGAUUUGCCAAGUAUAAAUGGCCUUUUGCCAGUAAUAUCGAUUAAAGCAGCAUUGGUCGUUUUAGCUUCCAGAAAUCCGUAGAGGUUAUGAAGAUUGUACUCUUAAGGCAUUUCCAAAAUGCACUGAUGUUGCUGGGACAGUAAUCUCGUUAAUUGGACGUAAGCUUCCAUUGUUACUGAUCUUAUAAGGAGGGUUGUCAAGGGCAGAAAAUGGGGUUGGAGGCGAAGAGAUGAAGUUAGUUAUCUCGUUCAAGUCAAGCCAGAGCCCAUCAACAGGGAGAAGGUCAUGGAAAAUCUUGAUUUCGUUAUUCCAGAAGACUCUGCCUCGGGGAUUUAUGAAAUCAGGAAAGUAUACUUUUCCAGGGAAACCUUCGCCACGAUAAGGGACACCAUUGUGUUUGAUGAAAACGUCCGCUUGCAUCCCUCUCUGGUAUGUCUCAUAUGAGCUAUUUAUGCUGAUCCCUGUGAACAAGUUAUUGAGAUCAUAAAUGAAACAAGGGUAGUGCUCUGAUUAAGUCAUUUAACCGAUUACCUUCGUAAUUUCUAAACUUCUACAUCAACUUAAAGUAUAAAUAUUAACAAAAAAGAGGCAGCUCGGUGCACAAAGCAUCUCGCGGUCACACAAGUUCCGGGAAAGGCUACACCCCAAAGGAGUGUGAUGUAGGUAGCCUACCUGACGCUAAUGAAGCAAGAAGUUGAAUAUGUCAGAACUCACCUGGAUCCAAUAUGACAACAAAUUUCUGGCCAUUGUGGUGAAGUGCAUCGACAAGUUUCUUCAUCUGGUCAAGUGGGAAGUUAAUAGGAUCAAGUGUGAAAUCCUUAUAACCAUCAAUAUAAUCAAUAUCUGUCCACAUGACCUCAAGAGGGAUCUGAGCUUUUGCAUAGCCAGCAACCACAUUCCGAACAUCAGUAAUAUCUUUAUAACCAUUCGGCAUUGCUGAAAUCCUGUGGCCAACAAUUCACAAUAGAUUGCAUGAAAACAAUAUGUCCAUCUAUCUGUCUCAAACCAUAGAUGUACAUAUUGUAGAAAUAAAACACAAUCCUCAUAUUCACAACUAGUCAAAGCUCUAUCCACCCCAUUAUGAGUACUGAAAGAGGUCGGAUCACAUAACGUUAUAUAACCGGGCUCUGCACUAACGAAUGCUUGAGACAACAAGAAACUGUGCAUAUUUUUUAAGUAUCAAACAAAAUUUAAAUGUUAGGGCCAUAUGAAGUUAGUAAACAGAAUAAACACUACGAACCAAUAGGUAAUUCGCUAGCAUAAUUACAUACCAAAAGACCAGUAUGGCAUGGGCGCGGGGCGGCCAAUGAGCUCUGUGUACUGCUCCAUGACCGACUCUGGCACAGGACCAGCAAAGAAGUACAAGUCAAUGACCCCUCCAAUCACCUUGUAGGUAAUUCUGUCACCAGUAUAUACAAUGUCCAUACCAUUGCUAUUGAACAGCAAGACUCCGUGACUGGUCCCCACCCUAGGAUGAGACCUGACAUCCAUGUAAAAAGGGUGGGAACCAUACAAGUUGACGACAACAUUGAGACUAGGAAUAUCAACAUUCCAAAGAGUUAAUGUCUGGUUAUGCUUGACCUUAAAUGUUCUCUUGGUAUGCUCCCCGAGGCCAUAGAUAGAUGACCGAUUAUCUGGCAAUGAAGAGGACAGUUGAAGGUACUGAUCCUUGAAGAUGAGGAAUGUGUCCGGAGAUCCAUUUUUAGGUGAGGUGUCGAAAAGAACGUCUCCUGAGGAACGACGCGUGAUAGUGAAGCCAAAAGGGGUGGUAUUGUAGAGAGUGAAACUAAGGUCAGAAAUGGUGUUU